rnacentral:SRP_RNA from 1 species
GCUGGGCGUGGUGGCGCACGCCUGUAAUUCCAGCUACUCGGGAGGCUGAGGGAGGAUAAUUGCUUGAACCCGGGAGGCAGAGGUUGCAGUGAGCCGAGAUUGCACCCCACUGCACUUCAGCCUGGGUGACAGAGCGAGACUCUGUCUCAA